AAAUUGAAGAGUUUGAUCAUGGCUCAGAUUGAACGCUGGCGGCAGGCCUAACACAUGCAAGUCGAACGGUAACAGGAAGCAGCUUGCUGCUUUGCUGACGAGUGGCGGACGGGUGAGUAAUGUCUGGGAAACUGCCUGAUGGAGGGGGAUAACUACUGGAAACGGUGGCUAAUACCGCAUAACGUCGCAAGACCAAAGAGGGGGACCUUCGGGCCUCUUGCCAUCAGAUGUGCCCAGAUGGGAUUAGCUUGUUGGUGAGGUAACGGCUCACCAAGGCGACGAU
rnacentral:rRNA from 2 species